CCUACGGGAGGCAGCAGUGAGGAAUAUUGGACAAUGGAGGCAACUCUGAUCCAGCCAUGCCGCGUGCAGGAAGACGGCCUUACGGGUUGUAAACUGCUUUUAUUGGGGAAGAAACCCGGUCUUGCGAGGCCGGCUGACGGUACCCAACGAAUAAGCACCGGCUAACUCCGUGCAAGCAGCCGCGGUAAU
rnacentral:rRNA from 1 species